CUGAAAUGAAACCUCACCAACACUACCGUCACCUGCUGGUCACGGUAUGUACGUUCUCGGGAUGGGUAGAACCUUUUCCUCCCCGGACUGAAAGAGCAUCAGAAGUAGGCUGGUGCCUGCUUAGAGAAAUAGUUCCCAGAUUUGGAUUUCCUACCAGCAUUGGAUCAGACAAUGGCCCGGCUUUCGUAGCUGAUUUAGUAUAACAGAUAAGCAAUGUCAAGUGGAAAUUACAUACAGCAUAUAGGCCCCAGAGUUCUGCGAUGGUGGAAGGAACCAACCGGACACUUAAAGAGACACUCUCCAAAUGGAUCAUAGAGACUGACUGCUCCUGGGUGGACUUGCUUCUGACGGUUCUGCUCAGACUCAGGAUGACUCCAUGGUCCCAUGGCUAUUCUCCGUACGAAAUUGUGUAUGGGGGGCCCCCUCCCAUUAUAAAACAGGUGUCAACAAAUUUGCCUCAGUUAAAGUUGCAGGUAUUGCCCCUUGGAUCCAUCAUAUGAGGGUGAAGAGAGCAUACCACGCAGACCCAGAAAAUGCUGAGUGGACUGCACAGAGGGACCCCGCUGACCCUUGAGAGACUAAGAUCAUCCUUAAGAAGAAGAGGAAAAAGAAGAUCCUGGAUGAGCUCCUUCAGGAUGAAGUCACAUAAUCAACUCCUGCUGCUUGGUCUCAUCAGUGUGCACAUUCCUAUGUGGACUUCCACUCUACCUCCAACUGCUGGGUAUGUGGGGCUAUGCGUCUGUCUGUGAUCGAUGGACUUCCUGGUGGGUGUCACCACUCCGCCAAGGAGAUUUUAAACCACUCUUCUCUUUCCUGGGACAACAAAAAGAGACUUGACUUUCUCUUGACAAUCAUAAUCUCUCCCUGCUCUCUUGGUAUAAGCCAGACCUAGUCAAUAGAUUCGGGUCAUGGGGUUACAUAUUAUGUAAACACCAAUUUCAUAAAAGUAACAGAUGCGGUAAUUCAAAUUAGAAUGGUUUUGGACAUGCUCACAGCUGCUUAAGGAGGGACCUAUGCUAUAAUUAAGGUUGAAUAUUGUGUAUAUAUUCCUGAUUUAUCUGGCAAUGUAUCAGCUGCUUUAGAUGAUGUGAGAAACCAGGUAAAAGCAAUGUCAAAUGAAAACAUUCCUUUCUGAACUUGAGUACUAUCUUGGGUGAAGGGUGAUUGGUGGAAUAUAUAAUUGCCUUGAUAGUUCUGCUCUGUGGACCCUGCAUUUUACAAUGUAUUAUGAACUUUGUAACCCAAAGGUUGGUGUCGUUCUCCCAAAUGGGUGGUUUGAGAGGCAGGGUGCAAUAUAUCCCUAUGAAUGAUGCUCAUACUAUGACUUAAGAGCAACAAGAGGCGGGAAUGAAGGAGGAAACAGAACAGGCUGUAUCUUGAAAGCAGGACUCCAUAUUGGGCUGGACUGUGGACUUUGAGCUAUAUGCCCACUAUCUAUGGAAACAAUAUACCAACUGGAAAACCAGGCCCCCAGAAGGAAGAGCUAAAAGAAUACCCUAA
rnacentral:lncRNA from 1 species